UACGUAGGGGGGCAAGCGUUGUCCGGAUUUAUUGGGCGUAAAGAGCGUGUAGGCGGCCAUGCAGGUCCGUUGUGAAAACUCGAGGCUCAACCUCGAGACGCCGGUGGAAACCGUAUGGCUAGAGUCCGGAAGAGGAGAGUGGAAUUCCUGGUGUAGCGGUGAAAUGCGCAGAUAUCAGGAAGAACACCCGUGGCGAAGGCGGCUCUCUGGGACGUGACUGACGCUGAGACGCGAAAGCGUGGGGAGCAAACAGG
rnacentral:rRNA from 1 species